AACGUAGGACGCAAGCGUUAUCCGGAGUUACUGGGCGUAAAGCGCGGGCAGGCGGCUCGAAACGUCUGAUGUGAAAUCUCCUCGCUCAACGGGGAGAGGCCAUUGGAAACGGUCGAGCUGGAGGGCAGUAGAGGUAGGCGGAAUUCCGGGUGGAGUGGUGAAAUGCGUAGAUAUCUGGAGGAACACCGGUGGCGAAGGCGGCAUCCUGGACCGGUAUUGACGCUGAGGCGCGAAAGCCAGGGGAGCAAACGGG
rnacentral:rRNA from 1 species